rnacentral:rRNA from 1 species
GACGAACGCUGGCGGCGUGCCUAAUACAUGCAAGUCGAACGCAGUGGGGACGGGUGAGUAACACGUGGGUAACCUCCCAUCAGAGGGGAUAACACUUGGAAACAGGUGCUAAACCGAUACUGAUGGAUGGACCCGCGGUGCAUUAGCUAGUUGGUGAGGUAACGGCUCACCAAGGCCACGGUGCAUAGCGGACCUGGGAGGGUGAUCGGCCACUCUAGGACGCAGACACGUCCCAGCGGCCUAAGUGAGGAAGCAGUAAGGCAUGUUCGGAAAUGGGGUAAAGUCUGACCCAGCGACCCCGCGUGUGUGAAGAAGGUGUUCGGUUCGGAAAACUCUGUUGUUAGAGAAGCGGGAUCUAACCAGAAAGCCACGGCUAACUACGUGCCAGCCGCCGCGGUAAUUC